GGGGCUGCAAUGGCUUCGACGGGGAUGAGGAAGCUUGAGAAGCGAGCCGCGGAUGAGUCAGCCGCGUUAACAAGGCUCAAACUUAAAUAUAAACGCUAACGAUACAGAAUUAGCUUACGCUGCCUAAUUGCGGCGUUGUCUCCCCUGUGAGUACCACGGCAUAGGCUGAGGCAUGAUAUCAGUGGUGAACGUGAACAGGUGAUUGGUUCGUAGCCUGUCAUGAAUAACGAAUCUACCUGCAUAUUUGCUCUGGCUAUGAGGUGUUUAUGCAGGGAAUUUUAUUCAUAGCCUGCGCUCGGAGAAACUUGGGUGGAUUUGUUCUCGGACACGAGUUCGAUUCUCGUCAGCUCCACCA
rnacentral:tmRNA from 1 species